CAUGGUCUUAGCUUGCUAAGGCCGAUGGCGACCGGCGCACGGGUGAGUAACACGUAUCCAACCUGCCGUCUACUCUUGGACAGCCUUCUGAAAGGAAGAUUAAUACAAGAUGGCAUCAUGAGUCCACAUGUUCACAUGAUUAAAGGUAUUCCGGUAGACGAUGGGGAUGCGUUCCAUUAGAUAGUAGGCGGGGUAACGGCCCACCUAGUCUUCGAUGGAUAGGGGUUCUGAGAGGAAGGUCCCCCACAUUGGAACUGAGACACGGUCCAAACUCCUACGGGAGGCAGCAGUGAGGAAUAUUGGUCAAUGGGCGAGAGCCUGAACCAGCCAAGUAGCGUGAAGGAUGACUGCCCUAUGGGUUGUAAACUUCUUUUAUAAAGGAAUAAAGUCGGGUAUGUAUACCCGUUUGCAUGUACUUUAUGAAUAAGGAUCGGCUAACUCCGUGCCAGCAGCCGCGGUAAUACGGAGGAUCCGAGCGUUAUCCGGAUUUAUUGGGUUUAAAGGGAGCGUAGAUGGAUGUUUAAGUCAGUUGUGAAAGUUUGCGGCUCAACCGUAAAAUUGCAGUUGAUACUGGAUAUCUUGAGUGCAGUUGAGGCAGGCGGAAUUCGUGGUGUAGCGGUGAAAUGCUUAGAUAUCACGAAGAACUCCGAUUGCGAAGGCAGCCUGCUAAGCUGCAACUGACAUUGAGGCUCGAAAGUGUGGGUAUCAA
rnacentral:rRNA from 1 species